GUCCUUGCCGUAAACGAUGUAUACUUGAUGUAAUUAGGCUCAACCCUGAUUGUGUCGAAGCUAACGCGAUAAGUAUACCGCCUGGGGAGUACGCUCGCAAGGGUGAAACUCAAAAGAAUUGACGGGGGCCCGCACAAGCAGUGGAGCAUGUGGUUUAAUUCGAUGCAACGCGAAGAACCUUACCCAGGCUCGAAAUGUAGAGGACGAUAUCAGAGAUGAUAUUUUUCGCAAGAACUUCUAUAUAGGUGCUGCAUGGCUGUCGU
rnacentral:rRNA from 1 species